CUGCCCUGAGGCAGCAGCCUAACUGGUUGGAUCACUACGAUGAAAGUGUCAUCAGCGCUCAAAAAAAUACGUUUGCUCUUGAUCCCGCAUGUGGAUCGCUCAAAAAAGAUGUGAAGGGUCAGGUCGCCAAAAACAACAACAGGCCUCCCGAACAACAAAAAAGAGCAUAGCAACAUACCUUGAAGGGGAGCCCAGGCUCCCCUUCGUGCUUUCCGGCGUUCCGCCCCUCCUCCCCAA
rnacentral:ncRNA from 1 species